CAAAUCGAUUGGCAAGCCAAGUCAGUCAAUUUUAUUUAUAUUCCUCCAUAUAAAUAUAAUUGACUGUCGUUUCGAUUAGAUUAUGUUCAUACGACUGUUCAAAAACCAUUCGAAAUGGAGGGCCCUGAUUGUGGAUGACAUCAAAGAAACUUCUGAAGACAGCUUUGCUGACAUUUAUGUUUGCGUGGAAGCUUUUGAAAAGAGUGUCUAAAAGCGGUGCUCGCAGCACGAAUGCCGAGUCAACAGUGGUAGAAUAAAUACAAUGGCAUUUUUAUUCCGAUCGCGUCGUAGUGGGGGCGUCGAAAACGCAUGUCAGGACCUGUAAGAUGGAAGAUCGGUACCUACAUACAAGCUUAUGAUAGCCUGUGAACUAUUCUUAGAUAAGUAUGGAAAUAAGUGUAGUUCGACGAAGAAACGCUGGAACGAGGAAAUUGAAUUGAAACGAGCUCGCGAUUCAAUAUCUGUAAUGAAACUAAAACCGGAGUCUACAUCCUUUCUUAUAUUAUGUUUUCAUUUUCCAACGGAAUUGGUUCGAAUUCUUGUAUUACCAGAGACCUGAUUGAAUAAAAUUGUGGGACCGUAUCUACAUGCCUUUUUACGAUAACUAUAUAGUAUAUUCUGUGGUCGGAAAUGAAUAAAACGUUACGUGUACUUUAUUUUAACAGGCAACAUUUAUUUGUCUUUAUAGGACGUGUGGUCUGGGCAUCAAGUAAUAAAAAAUAUGUUCUUAAUGUGCUCUCAUCAAAAGGGACACGCAAAUUUGGUAAUAGUAUAAAAAUACACAUAUGAAUCUAAUUCGCUCAGAAAUUAUUCGGUUACUCAACCUUUUUUUUUUAAUUAAAACAUUUGACGCUAUUUCGGUUGAGGUUAAUUAAUCUAAUUACUUUUUAAACGAGGUUUAAAUGAAUAUAGUUAGUGAGUAAUGUAAUAAGCAUAGAAUGUAAUUAGCUGCAAUCAUUAUUCGUGCAGAGUCGUGCAACGGUCGACCCCGGCUAAUUUACAUUUAUUCUGAUUAUAUCGCAGAUAAAUUACAGUUAAAAUUAUCUAUGUGAUUUUAAACUUUAAUUUAAAUUCAAAUGUUAGCUUAAAUUUGGAAAAUGAAAUUUAUGUGCGAAAUAAUUUUGACGAAUUACCAAUAAUAAAAAUACCAGCUUUGGUAUGUUUUACUAAUGGAUAGAAUGGAAUUAAUCCGUAUAGCUUUUCAACAUGGAACACCACUGAACUAAAUCCCAUAAAUUGUUUAGUAACAUCAUAUGAUAGAUUUAGGAGUUGUGGUAUAGGUAGUUAAAACCCUACAGAAGGUUUGUGGAACAAAGUUUUGAGUUUGCUUCAGGCUUUUUCGCUUUAGUAGGUACAUAUAUGGUUCUUUAAAUGAUUUUGUUGGUUUUAAUUUAAAAUAUAUAUAUUUUUGUUGGAUGCUUGGGUUUCUUGAAUAAAACUUCCAAAUCAAUGUCACGCUUGUAUUUUCUUUAUACAGGUUUUUAUGCAAAAUUAUUCGCAAUUUUUAUGUUGCGUACAAGUUAGCUUGGCACGGCGAUUAAUUAAAGUGUAAUGGUGUAGGUAAACAUAAAUAAAAAUUUCAACAUUGCUCCUUUAAAUUUAGUAGGCGCUAACAAUUUCCUUUCUGGCAGUUUAUUAAGACUAUAUGAGUCGACUAGUAUCAAAGCCGGCAAUGUGACUUUUGGACAAUUAUUGGUAAAUCAGAAAAACGAAUUAUUGACUUUGUAUUCCAUUGGCAGUCACAAAACUCUUCUGAACGACAUCUUACAUAAAUAACAGUUUAAGUAUUAACCUUUAUUUAAUGCAGGUUUUGAACCGUAUUCUUUGAAGGAGACGAUUAUAUUCAAAUCAAUCUGUAUUGACAUAUCAAUAACAUUUUUUUGUUCAAAUGCACAGAUUGCCACCUUUGAUAAUAGACGACUCAUAUGCAACUAUCUUAAAUAUACUGAUAUAUAAAAGUAUCUAACCACUUAACACUAAGUUGGCCUUCAGUUUGUUCAUCAAACUAUUUACAAACAAUCUAGACAAUAUAACUGAGAUAAGACUACUUUCUUGAAAAA